GUAACAAGGUUUCGGUAGGUGAACCUGCGGAAGGAUCAUUACUGAAAGACUAGGGUUUUGAGACUGCGUCCCAAAUGGCGUGUGCUCGACCCUUACUCUUUAAUCCACAUACACCUUUGUGCACCAUGGGGGGAUUUACCCCCCCUUUUUUCAUACAAACACCUAGUUAUAUGCAUGUUUUUUUUGUAUACUCUAUGGAGUAAUAUACAACUUUCAACAACGGAUCUCUUGGCUUUCGCAUCGAUGAAGAACGCAGCGAACGUGCGAAACGUAAUGUGAAUUGCAGAAUUCAGUGAAUCAUCGAAUCUUUGAACGCAUCUUGCGCUCCUUGGCAUUCCGAGGAGCAUGCCUGUUUGAGUGUCGUGAAUAUACUCAAUUUCAAAUCUUUUUGUUUUGAAAUUGGAUUUGGGUGUUGUUGUGAAAACAUGGCACGACUCAUCCUAAAUGCAUUAGCGAUCUGUCUUUGAUCACACAAUGUGAUAAGAAARAAAAAAAGCAUUGUUAGGGUCAAGUAAGGAUGGCUUCUAAUCGUCGCAAGACAAUGAUUCAUGUCAUUUGACCUCAAAUCAGGUAGGA
rnacentral:rRNA from 1 species